UGCGAAGGCAAGCGGAUCUCUUAAAGCUGUUCUCAGUUCGGACUGCAGUCUGCAACUCGACUGCACGAAGCUGGAAUCGCUAGUAAUCGCGGAUCAGCACGCCGCGGUGAAUACGUUCCCGGGCCUUGUACACACCGCCCGUCACACCAUGGAAGUCUGCAAUGCCCGAAGCCGGUGGCCUAACCACUUAUGUGGAAGGAGCCGUCUAAGGCAGGGCAGAUGACUGGGGUGAAGUCGUAACAAGGUACC
rnacentral:rRNA from 1 species